AACGAACGCUGGCGGCAGGCUUAACACAUGCAAGUCGAGCGCCCCGCAAGGGGAGCGGCAGACGGGUGAGUAACGCGUGGGAAUCUACCCAUCUCUACGGAAUAACGCAUGGAAACGUGUGCUAAUACCGUAUACGUCCUUCGGGAGAAAGAUUUAUCGGAGGUGGAUGAGCCCGCGUUGGAUUAGCUAGUUGGGGGGGUAAAGGCCUACCAAGGCGACGAUCCAUAGCUGGUCUGAGAGGAUGAUCAGCCACACUGGGACUGAGACACGGCCCACACUCCUACGGGAGGCCGAAGUGGGGAAUAUUGGACAAUGGGCGCAAUCCUGAUCCAGCCAUGCCGCGUGAGUGAUGAAGGCCCUAGGGUUGUAAAGCUCUCUCACCGGUGAUGAUAAUGACGGUAACCGGAGAAGAAGCCCCGGCUAACUUCGUGCCAGCCGCCGCCGCGGUAA
rnacentral:rRNA from 1 species